rnacentral:rRNA from 1 species
UACGUAGGGGGCUAGCGUUGUCCGGAAUCAUUGGGCGUAAAGAGCGUGUAGGCGGUCCGGUAAGUCCGCUGUGAAAGCCGGGGGCUCAACCCUCGAAUGCCGGUGGAUACUGUCGGGCUAGAGUGCGGAAGAGGCGAGUGGAAUUCCUGGUGUAGCGGUGAAAUGCGCAGAUAUCAGGAGGAACACCGAUUGCGAAGGCAGCUCGCUGGGACGUAACUGACGCUGAGACGCGAAAGCGUGGGGAGCAAACAGG